CUUCACUGGCUGAUCCAUGACGGUCCUUCCUGAGGCGGAGGCUUCUGCGCAGACUGGCUGUGGUCAAACACGCACAGAGACUCCUCCUCCAGGUCGUCAUCCAGAUCCUCCGGCAGCGGCGGCAGCACCGGGUCAAAGUUCUUCUGGGCCACCGUGUCGUGGGCUGACAGCACGGCCUGCAUGAACAACCCAAUCACAUGCAAAGGUCCCGAGGGGAGGACUGAGAGGGGUGAGGUCGCCUUCACGCUGCUGAUGCCAUCUGCCCACCACUCUGCGGUCGGAGGAAAUGCACCGAGCCGCAGGGAGGAGGAGGGGACAUGGCGUGGAUGGAUUAUGAGACAAAUAAACAAAAACACGCCCACUCGAUGAGAGCAAGACACCCGGACUGAAGGAGACAGAGACAACAACCGAUGAGACAGAGUCUUCAUGGUUCCGUUUUACGGCUACUUCUCUGCUUGAAGACAUUUUGUUCCACUUCAUGUAGUUUUGUGUUUCUUCACGGUCUGUUAACGUCUCUUUAAUGUUGUUUCCAUCUCUUUAUCGUCUGUUAUUGUCUCUGUGUUGUCAUGUUUCAUUCAGGUGGUUGCUUUUACUUUCUUGUAGGUCAUACAGCAUCUCUUUUGAGGUAGUAUGUUGCCUCUCUGCAUCCUUUAUGAGUCUUAUUACAUCCCUCUGCAUUUUUCGUUGCAUCUUUCUUCUGUCUCUUUGCAUCUCUCUUCUGUCCCUU